GAUGAACGCUAGCGACAGGCCUAACACAUGCAAGUCGAGGGGCAGCACAAGGAGCAAUCUGAGGUGGCGAACCGGCGCACGGGUGAGUAACACGUAUGCAACCUACCUGUAAGAGGGGAAUAACCCGUUGAAAAACGGACUAAUACCGCAUAACACUGUAGAACCGCAUGGUUUGACAGUUAAACAUUUAUGGCUUACAGAUGGGCAUGCGCAUGAUUAGCUAGUUGGUGAGGUAACGGCUCACCAAGGCAACGAUCAUUAGGGGUUCUGAGAGGAAGGUCCCCCACACUGGUACUGAGACACGGACCAGACUCCUACGGGAGGCAGCAGUGAGGAAUAUUGGUCAAUGGGCGAGAGCCUGAACCAGCCAAGUCGCGUGAAGGAUGAAGGUUUUAUGAAUUGUAAACUUCUUUUGCAGGGGAAUAAAGUGUCCGACGUGUCGGAUUUUGUAUGUACUCUGCGAAUAAGGAUCGGCUAACUCCGUG
rnacentral:rRNA from 1 species